UACGAAGGGUGCAAACGUUGCUCGGAAUUAUUGGGCGUAAAGCGCACGUAGGCGGCUUAGCAAGUUGGAUGUGAAAUCCCUCGGCUCAACCCAGGAAGUGCACUCGAAACUGGCAGGCUUGAAUAUGGAAGAGGGUCGCGGGAAUUCCCGGUGUAGCGGUGAAAUGCGCAGAUAUCGGGAGGAACACCGGUGGCGAAGGCGGUUCUCUGGGCCUGACCUGACGCUGAGGAGCGAAAGCGUGGGGAGCGAACAGG
rnacentral:rRNA from 1 species